UACGUAGGGAGCAAGCGUUGUCCGGAAUCAUUGGGCGUAAAGCGCGCGUAGGUGGCUUCGUAAGUCCGUUGUGAAAGUCAAAGGCUCAACCUUUGAAAGCCGAUGGAUACUGCGGAGCUAGAGUACGGAAGAGGCGAGUGGAAUUCCUGGUGUAGCGGUGGAAUGCGCAGAUAUCAGGAGGAACACCAAUAGCGAAGGCAGCUCGCUGGGACGUUACUGACACUGAGGCGCGAAAGCGCGGGGAGCGAACAGG
rnacentral:rRNA from 1 species